GUCCUGGAACUAGCUCUUGUAGACCAGGCUGGCCUCGAACUCACAGAGAUCCACCUGCCUCUGCCUCCCCAGUGCUGGGAUUAAAGGCUUGCGCCACCAGCACCCAGCGGUGUUUGUGCUUCUUAGUGUUCUUUUCACUAGAUGGAUGAUUCCAGCUUCUCCACUCUUCUCGCCACCCUAAACUUGUACCCUGCUCACCUUUCUUAUCAUACUUACCCCGGUCUUCUUUUUUCUCCCUUCACCACACCCCCCAGGCAGAUAGCACCGUGAAAACAGAGAGCUGGCUCAUUACGUCCUGGGGUCUCUGCUGACACAGUCCCCAACAUACAGGAGAGAGCCCUGUCACCGGAACUACCAGAGCUGUGUCCUCACUGAGCUCCAGAGUCUUCUCCUGUAGCCUGAACUGGAACCUUCUGGAAAAUCCAUGCCAUGGUCCUCCCCUCCCCACUUUUCUAUUCUGACAGCAGGAAACCGAUGUUCAUUUGUGCGCCUAUUUGCAUGUCAUCUGCAUAUGCAAUAACAUUUACAUUUCAUCAACAUAUGUCACCCAAAGCCUUGAACAGGCAGAGAAGCUAGAAAGGAUUAUAGGCCUUGUUCUAGAUCUUUGUUUAAAGGGUGAGAAGAAAGGGCUCCUCUGCUCCUGGAAAGUUCCCUCCCCAGCAGGGCACAUGGACUUAACGACCCAAACAAGAAGUGUCUGUCUGGGUCCAGCUCUGGGUACCUCCAGCCCAGAUGUUUCUAACCUCUCUAGCUUUGAUCUUGGCCCACAGUUAGGUCUGGAGGAGCAAGGAUCUGGGACCCUUCAUCUAAGUUGAGCAUUUGUCAUGCAAAUGACCCUGUUAUACCCUCAGUCAACCCUGACUGAGAACCCUACACUCUCUGCUUGCUGCUAUUCCCCACGGGCUUCUGACAUCUGGUUAGUGGGGGAAGGAUGGGAUGGAGAUCUUAUUAAAGAUACCACCCAAAGCUUUCUUCUGUAGACAGGCAGGGAUAGUCAUUGAUUGUGUGGUCUGGGAGUCAGAGCUCUGCACAAAGGAAUCCGGGGAUUCCAGCCCGGGUCAGGGCUUCUGAUACGCUGAGAGUGUUUGCCAAGGCUGUCAUCUCCAAAGAGUGGGUUCCAUCACUACUGGAACGGUAACAGCAGCGGGUGAUGGGCCCUCGGCAAAUGCUUCGGCACCUUGUUCCACGUGAUACUUCUAAUCCACGCCAGAGAAGCAACUCCACCCACCCCCAAAUAGUAGCACAGGCCUGUAAUUCCAGUCUUCUGGGGCUGCAGCAGACAAGUCAUGAAUUCAAGGCCAGCCUGAGCUAUAGCGUGAGAACAGCGGGACAGGAAGGAAGGAAGAGAGAGAGAGAGAGAGAGAGAGAGAGAGAGAGAGAGAGAGAGAGAGAAACAAAGAGAGAAAGAUCAAUGGGAAACUUACCAUAGAUUCCUAAGUCAAUAGGUGGAAGACCAAGGACUCAGCCUUGUGGCUUCAGAUCCUACAUACACACCAAUUGUACAGCUGGGACUGGGCCCACCAGAAGCAUUGUCCCUGCCAAGGGAGCGUGCCUAAGUGCUAGAGGGGGUGCAGAGCUGGUUUAGAAACCACAUGCCACCUCAUCUACGGGCGGGUCACUCAGCAUCACACACACACCAAAAUGACACAGAAGCACUGUGGUCUACAGGGGUUAGCAACUGGACUCUGAGUUAGAAUUCUGGCUGCUUUUUUGUUUGGGGUUCUGGUUUGUUGAUUUGAUCUCCUUGAGGUAGUGUCUUGCUCUGUCAUCCUGAUUGACUUGGGCUCACUUAUGUAGAGACUAUAAGGCAGGUCUUACGCUUUGGAGAUCCCCCUGCUGUAGUCACCCAAGUGCUGAGAUCACAGGUAAGGGCACCACAGCCAACUACAAUUCUGAGUUUGAAUCCUGCCCCCAUUGACUAUCUUGGAGGCUUUUGGAAAUACAAUUUAACCCUUUCCAAACCUCAGCUUCCUCUUUGUGAAGCGGGACUGGUGCUCACCCCACAGGACUGGGGUAGGGGCAGAAGGAGGCUGUGGGAGGUACGGAGAAAACUUAGUUACCAUUGCCUCUUCUAGGUCUGCCAUUUCCCACAAGUGUUUGCUCCCUUUUCCUUUCCAGCCCCCUUACUAUAGGAUGAGGCCCCUCCUGUUGUCUCACAGUUUGGCCAGGGGUGAGAGGUCACAGACUUAGCCUGUCACUCUUACUAGAGCAGAGGAAACCGAGGACAGUGCAGAUAAACUGUCCCAAGUCAUACACUGUAUCAGACAGGCAGAAGGAUGGAGAGAAAGGAGUUCAGGUGAGCAGGCAGAGAGCCCACACUCGCUCUGCUAGUCUCGAGCCGGGUGACCCUAGACAAGUCACUUCCCACCCCAAUGGCUCCUUGCACAUUUCUAAACCCAGAAUUCUAGCCGUUGUCGUCUCACAAGGUGACUCUGAGGACAGACAAAAGACCAGGUGGGCAGUCACUCGGACCCCUGCCCCACUUCCUUCCCCUGGAACCAAUGCAAUGGAACCAGCAGGAGAUCAGCAAGGCUACUCCAGGGUAGACUGGGGCUUAGCUCAGCAGAAAAGCACUUCCCAGCCAGUCCUGGGCGCCCUUCGCAAUGCAACUGGAACAAAAUGACAAGACACAAACAACAGCCAGGUGAAGUGGUGGGAGCCUUGUAAACCCAGCGCUGAGGGACGCCUGAGACAGGAGGGCUUGCCUGAGCUACAGAGAACUGAAGAACAGCCUGGGCCAUACAGUGAAACCCUGUCUCAAAAACCCCAGCUAAAUAAAAAUUUUAGACUACUC